CCCUGGCUGCUUAAUUGCAGUUGAUGCAGCUGUGUUAAGUCUCGCUCUGCCCCACACUCCUUCUCCACCACCCAAUUAAACAGCUCGUUUGGGGAGGAGAGCAGGUCUCUAGGCUUGGAUGCUGCCCGUUCCCAGGAACAGAAUGAGGAAAUCACCGUCCCCAGCAAUACGGCCAUCAAUCAUUACAGAGGUACUGUAGGAGCUCCAAUUAGUAACAGGUCUCUUGGCAGAGGGCCUGAGCCUCUCUAGUAGAGGCUGUGACCCAGCUGUCCUCCACAAGAGGUGUGCGUGUUGCCAGCAGUCAGCGCAGAGUCGACCUCUGAUUGUGAGCCCUUGAAUGCAGAAGUCGUGGGAGCUGCACAGCAGAUAGCACUGGCCUUUCUGUGCUGCCCUUUCCUCCUCUCCAUCACUCCUUCUUUGCUCUGCAGAAACCAACCUCGGGCCGUGGACCAGCUGGAAGGCUGAGCAUGAAGGGCUGUCGACAAGUAGGAAUGCUGAUAUGAUCCUCUUCUUCCUCCUGGGAAAAAACGUGGCCGUGGGCAAGGGCCUGGCUUUGGUUUCUUUGAAGAAAGUGAAUGUCCUGCAUAUCAGCAAGAAAAUGUUGAGAAACACCUCCAGUUCAUGGAGAAUCACCAUGUUAUAGCAUCCUUUCCCAUAGUAUGGAGGGGGGAAAGUGUGCAAAAAAAAAAAAAGCCAGAGGACAGGCUCUGAAUCAUGUUCUCUGUGUCUAGUGAUCUCAUUUAGCCUUGUAAGAUGUUCAAGGGCAUGCCUGAAGGAGGAAAGCUGGAAGAACAUCUAUUCUUCUGGAAGAAAUGGUGCAACAACCCACGCCUUGCCAGCACACCCAUGGACCCCCUGGGAUAAGGGUGGCUGGCAGUGUGUGUGCUUUGAGUCACAAAAGCUCACAUUGGUGGGUUUCAGUCUUGAGAAUACUGGGAGCUUUCUAUGGGGCACGUCUACCUAGAGCCAAGCUUCUAUGUAUUCUCUGUGACACUAAGGAUGUCGGUGGGAGGGAAACAAGAUGAGCCAUGCUUUUCAUACGUUUGGGCAAGAUGUGCAAAGUGAGAAACGUUAUUGUUGUUCUUGGCCAAUUCCCCCGUUCUGUUUCCAGCUUUAUAUUUUUCUCCUCUGUCUAUGCUAUGCAGAUGACGUUAUUUCAGAUUAAAUGAGAAUACAAGGAAAAAAUUAGUCAGCUGAGUAGGAAAUCGUACAUCUCCCCCUUAGUGAGCUUUUGGGUCAGAUUCCUUCACUGUCAUCAAGGUUGAAACUGGCUUUCAGCAAUAUGCACUCUUAACGUUACUCCAAAGAUGAUUAGGUUGUGCUGUUAACACUAGGAAGAGAUGCAGUGGGAAAACUGGCUGAAGAGCAUCAUUUUAGACAUUGUGUUGAGGGACGUGGUUUAGUGAGAACUAUUGGUGAUAGGUGGUUGGUUGGACUGGAUGAUCUUGUAGGUCUUUUCCAACCUCGGUGAUUCUAUGAUCUCUGCCUUCUCCAGUGUUUGUGCUAUGGGCACAGGACUUGUCAGUGAUUGCUCAGAAGCUAAAAGCAUCUCCCCAGUAAGCCACCUAGACACAUCAGUUGGAUAUCCUCAUCCUCAGCAGCUUUCUCUGGGGAAAAAAACGCGAUGUGAUGUGGGCUUCUGUGUUCAGGGAAUCUUCUCCAAAGCAUGUAGAAAAUGUGGAGGGGUAAGGAGGAAAGGGAGCUCCAUGGAAAGGAGAUUUGGUGUCCCCUUUCCAU
ensembl:lncRNA